UACGUAGGGGGCCAGCGUUGUCCGGAUUUACUGGGCGUAAAGAGCUCGUAGGCGGUCUGUCGCGUCUGCUGUGAAAACUCGGGGCUUAACCCCGGGCCUGCAGUGGGUACGGGCAGACUAGAGUGCGGUAGGGGAGACUGGAAUUCCUGGUGUAGCGGUGAAAUGCGCAGAUAUCAGGAGGAACACCGGUGGCGAAGGCGGGUCUCUGGGCCUUAACUGACGCUGAGGAGCGAAAGCGUGGGGAGCGAACAGG
rnacentral:rRNA from 1 species